GGUAAUUGACUGUUAGAACUUUAAAAACUGAUAAGAACAUUAUUGGUUAAAAUGGAGCUACUUGCAAUGAUGUUGCUUGACACUAUAAAGUUUUUUUAGAAUAAAAAAAAGUAAUACUGUUGGCAAGGGUUAAAUUUGAUCAGACAUUGUUUUAAUGACACAAGAUUUAAAAACCAUUCUCUACAUGUACAAAUAAAAUGAACAGAAUGAACUGCAUUGGAAUGUCAGAUUAUCCAGAAGAGGCAAACUAUGCCCCUCUAUCCAAUUUUAUAUCUUAAGGUGAUCUUCACAUUUUAUUUGCACUUGUUAAAUGCAAUGUCAUAUUUCUUCUGAAAUAUACUUCCAUGUCAGCCUGUAUGGCUUUUAGUGAUUGUUGAAUGUUUUCCUUUCUGUUGAAGGCAUUGUUUUUAUUUAUUUCUCCGUUUUAUUGGCUACUGUUAAUACCAGACUAUGCAAAGUACCUGCUGCUCUGUAAAUGUCAAUCACUUUUUUCUGUCAACUGUUUUUUAACGAUGCAUUGUUAAUGUGAAAUUGUAAAUUGAAUCAAUUUAUGAAUAUGUAUACUUUGCAUUGUGAAUCAGUAUUUGAUUCGAUGGAAUUAAUUUACGAGGCAUUUAGAGGCAGAUCUUUGGUGUCAGACGUUGAUCUAUACUGCUGUAUGUAUAUUAAUGGUGUGCGAGUGUGAUAGAUUUGUUUUUGUGCAUGAAAGACGUUGUUUGAGUUGACAUGUAGAUACAAGAGUUAAUAAUAUAUACUCCCUGCUAUACUGUACUGGAAUCCAGGAAGACUGGCUCAGUCUAACAGAAAAUUCACUAAGGGCUGAGGACAUUUUGGGCUUUGUUGCAUGUUGGCCUAAUCUUUUGAAGUUAAGUUGCCAUGUACAUCCAAUAAAUGAAAUGGACACUUU
rnacentral:misc_RNA from 1 species